GAUGAACGCUGGCGGCGUGCCUAAUACAUGCAAGUCGAGCGAACAGACGAGGAGCUUGCUCCUCUGAUGUUAGCGGCGGACGGGUGAGUAACACGUGGAUAACCUACCUAUAAGGCUGGGAUAACUUCGGGAAACCGGAGCUAAUACCGGAUAACAUGUUGAACCGCAUGGUUCAACAGUGAAAGACGGUCUUGCUGUCACUUAUAGAUGGAUCCGCGCCGCAUUAGCUAGUUGGUAAGGUAACGGCUUACCAAGGCAACGAUGCGUAGCCGACCUGAGAGGGUGAUCGGCCACACUGGAACUGAGACACGGUCCAGACUCCUACGGGAGGCAGCAGUAGGGAAUCUUCCGCAAUGGGCGAAAGCCUGACGGAGCAACGCCGCGUGAGUGAAGAAGGUCUUCGGAUCGUAAAACUCUGUUAUUAGGGAAGAACAAAUGUGUAAGUAACUAUGCACGUCUUGACGGUACCUAAUCAGAAAGCCACGGCUAACUACGUG
rnacentral:rRNA from 1 species